rnacentral:pre_miRNA from 14 species
UCUUAGUCAGGUACUGAAAGACCCCCAGAGCGGGGAGACCCUCACUCAAGUCUCGGGAUGAUGCAACCCCCCAAGAACUCACGUGAGACC